rnacentral:lncRNA from 1 species
CUCUAAAAUAUGAUUUUAUCAUUGAAAAUAAUAAUGAAAUCAACAUCAUUAAGGAUGAUGAUCUACUGACCUAUUCGAAAGCUGUCAUAAGUAGAGACUCAGACAGGUGGCUAGACAAUAUGAAAUCUGAAAUAAAUUCAAUAUAUACCAACCAAGUGUAGACUUUGAUUGAUGCACCUGAGGGUGUGACUCCAAUAGGGUAUAAGUGAGUCUUUAAGAAGA